rnacentral:hammerhead_ribozyme from 2 species
AUCUAGCUGAUGGGUCCCAAAUAUAACGAAAGGCGUGUCCUUGAU